rnacentral:tRNA from 1 species
GAGGGCGUAGCUCAGCUGGAUAGAGCAUCUGCCUUCUAAGCAGACGGUCGCAGGUUCGAAUCCUGCCGUCCUCGCCA